AAGUCAUGACUGACUCCGAGAUCUUCCUAACUGAAUCACUGGGAUCAGCUAUCAUUGACACCGCAUGCACACGUACUGUUUGUGGUGAAAAGUGGCUGGAUAAUUACAUGAAAGACCUGAUCCAAAGCCAAAUAAACAAACUGAUGCAAACAGAAUCUUCAACCUGCAGACCUUUCAGGUUUGGUGAUGGUCAGGUGGUACACUCCAACAGAAAGGUGAAGCUUCCCGCUAAGAUCGGACCAACAAAAUGUCACAUUGAAACGGAAGUUGUUCCUGUUGAUAUUCCUCUACUGCUGAGCAAAAUGGCUCUAAAGAGAGCAGGAACUGUUUUAGACAUGGAGAAUGACAGAGUUGUCAUGUUCAAGCAACCAGUGCCUCUUGAGCUCACUAGUUCGGGACACUAUUGUGUUGACAUUAGAGAUGAUAAUACUGAAGCGGACACCAAUGAAAGUGAAGUCCUUGUCGUCACAGCAGAGAUGUCUACAAAAGAGAAACGUAAAGUUCUCCUGAAGCUUCACAAGCAGUUUGGCCACGCCUCUGCAGACCGGCUGCAGAGGCUCAUCCUCAGCUCUGGAAAUACUGACAAAGACUGUCCAGUUAUUCUGCAAGAGAUCAUCCGUGACUGUGAGGUAUGUCAAAGAUAUAGCAGAACCAAGCCCAGGCCUGCUGUUGGUUUGCCUUUAGCCUCAGAGUACAAUGAGACGGUGGCAAUGGAUCUACAUGAGCUGGAACCUGGCGUAUGGUACCUCCACAUCAUCGACCAUUUUACACGCUUCAGCGCUGGAAACAUUGUGAGAACAAAGAAAGCCUCGGAGAUUGUCAACUCCUUUAUUCACUCGUGGAUAAGUGUUCAUGGUGCCCCUAAACGAAUAUACACUGACAACGGUGGCGAGGUCAACAAUGAGGAGAUAAGAGAGAUGGCAGAAAAAUUCAACAUUGAGAUGAAGACUACAGCGGCAUACAGUCCUUGGAGCAACGGGCUGCUGGAGAGACACAACAUGACACUGACUGAGAUCCUCCUGAAGGUGAAAAGGGAAAAUGGGUGUGGCUGGCAGACUGCUCUAGACUGGGCUCUAAUGGCCAAAAACAGUAUGAUCAAUGUGCAUGGUUACAGUUCACACCAGCUUGUGUUUGGUCACAGUCCUAAUCUUC
ensembl:lncRNA